UGGGGAAUAUUGGACAAUGGGCGAAAGCCUGAUCCAGCCAUGCCGCGUGUGUGAAGAAGGUCUUCGGAUUGUAAAGCACUUUAAGUUGGGAGGAAGGGCCAUUACCUAAUACGUGAUGGUUUUGACGUUACCGACAGAAUAAGCACCGGCUAACUCUGUGCCAGCAGCCGCGGUAAUACAGAGGGUGCAAGCGUUAAUCGGAAUUACUGGGCGUAAAGCGCGCGUAGGUGGUUUGUUAAGUUGGAUGUGAAAUCCCCGGGCUCAACCUGGGAACUGCAUUCAAAACUGACUGACUAGAGUAUGGUAGAGGGUGGUGGAAUUUCCUGUGUAGCGGUGAAAUGCGUAGAUAUAGGAAGGAACACCAGUGGCGAAGGCGACCACCUGGACUGAUACUGACACUGAGGUGCGAAAGCGUGGGGAGCAAACAGGAUUAGAUACCCCAGUAGUCCCUGAGCGGGCUGGCAAGGCGCAU
rnacentral:rRNA from 1 species